rnacentral:rRNA from 1 species
GAGUUUGAUCCUGGCUCAGAACGAACGCUGGCGGCAGGCUUAACACAUGCAAGUCGAACGCGUGUAGCAAUACACGAGUGGCGCACGGGUGAGUAACACGUGGAUAUCUGCCUUUGGUCGGAAUAACCCUGGGAAACUAGGGCUAAUACCCGAAUGGUUACCCUACGGGAUAAAGAUUUAUCGCCAAAAAGAUGAGUCCGCGUACCGAUUAGCUAGUUGGCGGGGUAAUGGCCCACCAAGGCACGAUCGGUAGCUGGUCUGAGAGGACGAUCAGCCACACUGGGACU